rnacentral:rRNA from 1 species
CGCGCUGAUAGAUGAGCCCAUGCCGGAUUAGCUAGUUGGUGAGGUAACGGCUCACCAAGGCGACGAUCCGUAGCUGGUCUGAGAGGACGGCCAGCCACACUGGGACUGAGACACAGCCCAGACUCCUACGGGAGGCAGCAGUGGGGAAUAUUGGACAAUGGGGGAAACCCUGAUCCAGCGACGCCGCGUGCGUGAAGAAGGCCUGCGGGUUGUAAAGCACUUUCGGUGGGAACGAAAUAUGCCGGGCUAAUACCCCGGUAGGCUGACGUUACUCAAUGAAGAAGCACCGGCUAACUCUGUGCCAGCAGCCGCGGUAAUACAGAGGGUGCGAGCGUUAAUCGGAAUUACUGGGCGUAAAGCGCACGUAGGUGGCGACGUAAGUCGGGUGUGAAAGCCCCGGGCUCAACCUGGGAACCGCAUUCGAGACUGUGUUGCUGGAGUACGGAAGAGGAGGGCGGAAUUCCCGGUGUAGCGGUGAAAUGCGUAGAUAUCGGGAGGAACAUCAGUGGCGAAGGCGGCCCUCUGGUCCAGUACUGACACUCAAGUGCGAAAGCGUGGGGAGCAAACAGGAUUAGAU